rnacentral:rRNA from 1 species
AUUGAACGCUGGCGGCAUGCUUUACACAUGCAAGUCGAACGGCAGCGCGGGCUUCGGCCUGGCGGCGAGUGGCGAACGGGUGAGUAAUGCAUCGGAACGUGCCCAGUAGUGGGGGAUAGCCCGGCGAAAGCCGGAUUAAUACCGCAUACGACCUGAGGGUGAAAGCGGGGGACCGAAAGGCCUCGCGCUAUUGGAGCGGCCGAUGUCGGAUUAGCUAGUUGGUGGGGUAAAGGCUUACCAAGGCGACGAUCCGUAGCUGGUCUGAGAGGACGACCAGCCACACUGGGACUGCGACACGGCCCAGACUCCUACGGGGGGCAGCAGUGGGGAAUUUUGGACAAUGGGGGCAACCCUGAUCCAGCCAUGCCGCGUGCGGGAAGAAGGCCUUCGGGUUGUAAACCGCUUUUGUUCGGGAAGAAAUCCUCUGGGCUAAUACCCCGGGGGGAUGACGGUACCGGAAGAAUAAGCACCGGCUAACUACG